rnacentral:rRNA from 1 species
AACGUAGGAGGCGAGCGUUAUCCGUAUUUACUGGGUUUAAAGCGCGUGUAGGCGGUCCUGCAAGUGGCGCGUGAAAGCGCCCGGCUCAACCGGGCGAGGACGUGACCGAACUGCGGGGCUAGAGGCAGGUAGAGGCGUGUGGAAUUCCGGGUGUAGUGGUGAAAUGCGUAGAGAUCCGGAGGAACACCAAUGGCGAAGGCAGGUCUCUGGGCAGUUACUGACGCUGAGGAGCGAAAGCAUGGGUAGCGAACAGGAUUAGAUACCCCGGUAGUCCCUGA